GAAGAAGGCUUUCGGGUUGUAAAGCACUUUCAGUGGGGAGGAACACCUGGCGAUUAAUACUCGUCAGGCUUGACGUUACCCACAGAAGAAGCACCGGCUAACUCCGUGCCAGCAGCCGCGGUAAUACGGAGGGUGCAAGCGUUAAUCGGAAUUACUGGGCGUAAAGCGCGCGUAGGUGGUUUGAUAAGCGAGAUGUGAAAGCCCCGGGCUCAACCUGGGAACGGCAUUUCGAACUGUCAGGCUAGAGUGUGGUAGAGGGUAGUGGAAUUUCCUGUGUAGCGGUGAAAUGCGUAGAUAUAGGAAGGAACACCAGUGGCGAAGGCGGCUACCUGGACCA
rnacentral:rRNA from 1 species